rnacentral:rRNA from 2 species
UGAGGAAUAUUGGUCAAUGGGCGUAAGCCUGAACCAGCCAAGUAGCGUGCAGGAUGACGGCCCUAUGGGUUGUAAACUGCUUUUAUGCGGGGAUAAAGUGAGGGACGUGUCCCUUAUUGUAGGUACCGCAUGAAUAAGGACCGGCUAAUUCCGUGCCAGCAGCCGCGGUAAUACGGAAGGUCCGGGCGUUAUCCGGAUUUAUUGGGUUUAAAGGGAGCGCAGGCGGGAGGUUAAGCGUGACGUGAAAUGUAGCCGCUCAACGGCUGAACUGCGUCGCGAACUGGCUUUGUUGAGUGAGUACGACGUCAGCGGAAUUCGUGGUGUAGCGGUGAAAUGCUUAGAUAUCACGAAGAACCCCGAUUGCGAAGGCAGCUGACGAGUCCUUUACUGACGCUAAAGCUCGAAGGUGCGGGUAUCGAACAGG